rnacentral:rRNA from 1 species
GACGAACGCUGGCGGCGUGCUUAACACAUGCAAGUCGAACGGACAGGCCCUGCUUUUGUUGGUUGCUCGAUUGGCGAACGGGUGAGUAACACGUGAGUAACCUGCCCCUGACUUUGUGAUAACUUCAGGAAACUGCGGCUAAUACCGGAUAUGAUCUCCUGCUGCAUGUUGGUGGAUGGUGAGUGUCGGCGGUUGUGGAUGGUCUCGAUGCUUAUGAGCUUGUUUGUCUGGUAGUGGCUUACCAAGCCUUCGACGGGUAGCCUGCCUGAGAGGGGUAACGGCGACAUUGGGACUGCGGUACGGAGCAGAAGCCUACGGGAGGCAGCAGUGGGAAAUAUUGCACAAUGGGGGGAAGCCUGAUGCAGAAACGCCGCGUGCGGAAUGAUGGGUUUCGGGUUGUGAACAAAUGUCGAAUGUGCCGAAGAGUGAGUGACGGUAAUGGGUAAAGAAGCACCGGCUAACUACGUG